AUGAGCAGCCGCCGCCACCUCUCGCCGCCGGCGGCGCCGCUGGAUGACGAAAACCUACUCCCCGAGAUCCUCCUCCGGCUCCCGCCGCAGCCCUCCUCCCUCCCCCGCGCCUCCCUCGUCUGCAAGCGCUGGCGCAGCCUCGCCUCCGACCCCGGCUUCCUCCGCCGCUUCCGGAUCCACCACCGCCGCAGCCCUCCCCUCCUCGGUUGCUUCUUCCAAGAACCUCACGGUAUCUCCUUCCUACCUGCUCUCGAGGCCCCCAACCGUGUCCCUCCUGGCCGCCUCUCUUUCCAGUCCACCCACAGUAACGGCCUUCGGCUACUCAACUGCCGCCAUGGCCUCGUGCUCAUCGCCGACAAGACUCGGCACGACCAAUUCCUCGUGUGGGACACCAUCACCGGCGAGCAGUACCACCUAGCCGUCCCCGCGCUGUUCGACACGGCAGUGGCGGUGCUGAUAACCGGGGCGGUGCUUCGUGCUGUGGGAGACACCCAUCACUUCCAGGUGGUCUGUGUAGCAACACGCAGACGCGAUCCGCAACGUCGACAAGCAGCCUGCGUUUACUCGUCGGAGACGGGCGCGUGGGGAAACGUCAUCUCGACACACAUUCCGUCCGACCUCGACUCCCAGUCAAGGUUUAAUCUCUACUUAUUUGGCAUCACAACGACCCCAGCGCCCGCAAUGCUUCUCGGGGACUCUCUUUACUGUACUCUUACUGAUGAUUCAUCAAGCAUCCUUGAAUUUGAUCUUCUGAGGCAAAGUCUGGCUGUAAUACGGAUGCCCAAGGAUGUGUAUAAGUAUAAAGGUCACAUCACGGUUACAAGGGCAGAUAGUGGUGGGCUGGGUUUCCUCAUGGUGACAGACUUCACCCUGCAAUUAUGGAAGCGGAAGAUUGAUUGCGAUGGUGUUGCCUCAUGGGGGCUGGAAAAAACUAUUGAACUGGACAAGCUGCUUUCCCUUAAUCCAGAGAAGGGCAGCAUUAUGAUACUUGGGUUUGCUGAGGAAAACAAGAUGGUGUUCCUGGGGACAUUUAUUGGCCUCUUUGUACUCCAGCUUCAGUCAUUGCAGUUCAAAAAGCUAUCCGAAACCGAAACCGUAUUUCACUGCCAUCCAUUUGAAAGUGUGUAUACUGCAGGUAAUAGCAUGCCUUUCACAGUGUGGGUAUGA
rnacentral:rRNA from 1 species